rnacentral:rRNA from 1 species
AUGUAUGGCCAUGCCACCCUGAACGUGCCUGAUCUCAUCUGAUCUUGAAAGCUAAGCAGGGUCGGGCCUGGUUAGUACUUGGAUGGGAUACCACCUAGGAAUACUGGAUGCUGUAGGUG